rnacentral:rRNA from 1 species
ACUCCUACGGGAGGCAGCAGUGGGGAAUUUUGGACAAUGGGGGCAACCCUGAUCCAGCCAUGCCGCGUGAGUGAAGAAGGCCUUCGGGUUGUAAAGCUCUUUCGGCCGGGAAGAAAUCGUGGUCUCUAACAUAGGCCAUGGAUGACGGUGCCGGACUAAGAAGCACCGGCUAACUACGUGCCAGCAGCCGCGGUAAUACGUAGGGUGCGAGCGUUAAUCGGAAUUACUGGGCGUAAAGCGUGCGCAGGCGGUUUUGUAAGACAGAUGUGAAAUCCCCGGGCUCAACCUGGGAACUGCGUUUGUGACUGCAAGGCUAGAGUACGGCAGAGGGGGGUGGAAUUCCACGUGUAGCAGUGAAAUGCGUAGAGAUGUGGAGGAACACCGAUGGCGAAGGCAGCCCCCUGGGCCUGUACUGACGCUCAUGCACGAAAGCGUGGGGAGCAAACAGGAUUAGAUACCCUGGUAGUC